AAAAUGAUUAUUAUUAAAUGACACAAUUAUGAUAUUUUUAAACUGCGAUGACAAUCAGCUGUUGUUUGACCACAUUUUUAUCAUUGUUCUCUUUUGUUUCCACCAUCACAAUGUCCAUCAGCACUGAAUGAGGGUUUACUGAUACAGUCACUAAGUCCUAUUACAAACAAUACUGGUUUACAGAAUGUGAAUGUAUGAUACUUGAGUAACAUAAGCCUUGUAAACAUUACAUCCAAACUGUGCAUCUGCACAUGUUGGUAUCACGAUUACAACGGUGCUUUGACGUGUCACGCAAAAGGUUCGAGUCAAAUUAAGACCAUGCAUUAUCUUUUUGUAGUCUAACCAGUUUUGUUCAAUCAACCUCAGGGAACUGACAAUUUUAGUAAAAGUUGGAUAUUAAAGUAAAUCCGGCUGCUGAAGAUUAAUCUCGCCCACAGCUGUGACUGAAGGAUAAAACGGGUUGUUUCCUGCACUUUCAUAUUAAAUGAGCUCUGAGUGCCUAAUGCCCCCUGUCGUUAGGAAGGAAUCUACAGUGCUUGAGCAUAAUCACAGGGCAUUAAUCUUCCAGCAACUGGCAGCCAUUGAAAUUAACUGCAUCACCAAGCUAAUCACAAGCCUCUUUAUAAUUGCAGAUUGUGAGAGAACGGGGAGCUUCCUUUCAAGCAGAUGCACCCCGUUAUGUGCUUCUCCAUCACCCUGUGAUGACUGCUCCACAUCCUGUGUCAGCCAUGGAUGCUGCUGCUUUAUAUUCUGCGUAUCGAGGGUGGCCAGUCUGUCAAGCCUUCUGUGCAAAGUAACCCAGUCAAAUCACAUCUCCAAAGUCAUAAAUAUAACAGCUUGCACAGGAAAUACUUCAGCAUGCAGAUGGAUAAAGAACCGAGUCAAAAACCAGACAUUCUGAUGUCUUGAAGGUGUAGGAGGACAACAGGAGGACAGGAGUGAUGUGACCUCAGUAAAAUUAUACCUGGCUGAUUUGUACAGUGGCUCUCAAAAGUAUAACCACUCCUAUUAAAAUGUCAAGUAGGAUGCAAAAAAUGAGACCAUGAUACAUCGCUUCAAAGCAUUUUCACAUUUAGUGUGAUAUUAACUCAGUAAAACUCAAACAAAGAGAAACUUUCUUGUAACUCAGUUGCACAAGUGUGAACACCCUGAAACUGAAACUUUGAUGAAGAACGUUUUGACCACAUUGAAUUGAUUCAAUUCUCUUUGGUAGGAAUCUAGAAUCUGUCUUAUUACUUUAAGAAUAUCAAAGGAGUAUGUAUGACGCAACUGCACUAACAGGUGGUCACUUUACAACGCUGUUUGGAAAAGUAAUGUGGACAAACUGGGCGUUUGUCCACAGUCUAUGCACUCGACCAUCUGCUCAUCUGCCAGGCCAGGGUGACGUAAAUGUGUUUUCCUCUACACAAGGGACCACCACUUCCCUCCCUGGUCAAAUAACAUCCAGCCCUGAGUUUAUGACCACAAGGACUGAAAGAACCAACAACACAUGCUACGAUAAAACUAUCAUUCAAAAAGAGCCAAAGCCAAAGACUAGAGAAAAACAACAGCAAGCUUGUCUGAACCCCUUCCAUGCAGCAUUGAUAGGACACACAGGAAGCUCUGCUGAAAGUCCAGAUGAGACGUCGUGUUGAAGCCUAUUGUGUUGUUGACAUCUAUGGGUCAUAAAUUGUUUUGUUUUGUCAGAAAUCGGUGUUGCUCUGUCAGGUUAUUUUGUCAGCCUCGUCACAUUACACAGUUUCUGACAUGUUUGUCUUGUGGUAAAAACAAUAAAUAAUUUUUUUUUCUCUC